UACGGAGGGUGCAAGCGUUGUCCGGAAUCACUGGGCGUAAAGAGCGUGUAGGCGGCUUGGUAAGUCCGCUGUGAAAGUCCAGGGCUCAACCCUGGAAUGCCGGUGGAAACUGCCAAGCUAGAGUCCGGAAGAGGCGAGUGGAAUUCCUGGUGUAGCGGUGAAAUGCGCUGAUAUCAGGAGGAACACCAAUGGCGAAGGCAGCUCGCUGGGACGGUACUGACGCUGAGACGCGAAAGCGUGGGGAGCGAACAGG
rnacentral:rRNA from 1 species